ACACUUACCCUAGGCGGGAGACAGCAUGAUCAUGAAUGUGUGUCUUAUCCGGUGUGUUCUAGAUGUGCUGAUUCCUGCAUUUUCCUCAGUAGUGCAACAUUGGCUUGUAACCUGUGAUAGUGAAUACUGGUUUCGUGCUCCUCC
rnacentral:snRNA from 1 species